rnacentral:rRNA from 1 species
UGUGAGCUCGAUGAGUAGGGCGGGACACGUGGUAUCCUGUCUGAAUAUGGGGGGACCAUCCUCCAAGGCUAAAUACUCCUGACUGACCGAUAGUGAACCAGUACCGUGAGGGAAAGGCGAAAAGAACCCCGGCGAGGGGAGUGAAAAAGAACCUGAAACCGUGUACGUACAAGCAGUGGGAGCCUCUUAAUGGGGUGACUGCGUACCUUUUGUAUAAUGGGUCAGCGACUUAUAUUCUGUAGCAAGGUUAACCGAAUAGGGGAGCCGAAGGGAAACCGAGUCUUAACUGGGCGUUAAGUUGCAGGGUAUAGACCCGAAACCCGGUGAUCUAGCCAUGGGCAGGUUGAAGGUUGGGUAACACUAACUGGAGGACCGAACCGACUAAUGUUGAAAAAUUAGCGGAUGACUUGUGGCUGGGGGUGAAAGGCCAAUCAAACCGGGAGAUAGCUGGUUCUCCCCGAAAGCUAUUUAGGUAGCGCCUCGUGAAUUCAUCUCCGGGGGUAGAGCACUGUUUCGGCAAGGGGGUCAUCCCGACUUACCAACCCGAUGCAAACUGCGAAUACCGGAGAAUGUUAUCACGGGAGACACACGGCGGGUGCUAACGUCCGUCGUGAAGAGGGAAACAACCCAGACCGCCAGCUAAGGUCCCAAAGUCAUGGUUAAGUGGGAAACGAUGUGGGAAGGCCCAGACAGCCAGGAUGUUGGCUUAGAAGCAGCCAUCAUUUAAAGAAAGCGUAAUAGCUCACUGGUCGAGUCGGCCUGCGCGGAAGAUGUAACGGGGCUAAACCAUGCACCGAAGCUGCGGCAGCGACACUAUGUGUUGUUGGGUAGGGGAGCGUUCUGUAAGCCUGUGAAGGUGGCCUGUGAGGGUUGCUGGAGGUAUCAGAAGUGCGAAUGCUGACAUAAGUAACGAUAAAGCGGGUGAAAAGCCCGCUCGCCGGAAGACCAAGGGUUCCUGUCCAACGUUAAUCGGGGCAGGGUGAGUCGACCCCUAAGGCGAGGCCGAAAGGCGUAGUCGAUGGGAAACAGGUUAAUAUUCCUGUACUUGGUGUUACUGCGAAGGGGGGACGGAGAAGGCUAUGUUGGCCGGGCGACGGUUGUCCCGGUUUAAGCGUGUAGGCUGGUUUUCCAGGCAAAUCCGGAAAACCAAGGCUGAGGCGUGAUGACGAGGCACUACGGUGCUGAAGCGACAAAUGCCCUGCUUCCAGGAAAAGCCUCUAAGCAUCAGGUAACAUCAAAUCGUACCCCAAACCGACACAGGUGGUCAGGUAGAGAAUACCAAGGCGCUUGAGAGAACUCGGGUGAAGGAACUAGGCAAAAUGGUGCCGUAACUUCGGGAGAAGGCACGCUGAUAUGUAGGUGAAGCGACUUGCUCGUGGAGCUGAAAUCAGUCGAAGAUACCAGCUGGCUGCAACUGUUUAUUAAAAACACAGCACUGUGCAAACACGAAAGUGGACGUAUACGGUGUGACGCCUGCCCGGUGCCGGAAGGUUAAUUGAUGGGGUUAGCGGCAACGCGAAGCUCUUGAUCGAAGCCCCGGUAAACGGCGGCCGUAACUAUAACGGUCCUAAGGUAGCGAAAUUCCUUGUCGGGUAAGUUCCGACCUGCACGAAUGGCGUAAUGAUGGCCAGGCUGUCUCCACCCGAGACUCAGUGAAAUUGAACUCGCUGUGAAGAUGCAGUGUACCCGCGGCAAGACGGAAAGACCCCGUGAACCUUUACUAUAGCUUGACACUGAACAUUGAGCCUUGAUGUGUAGGAUAGGUGGGAGGCUUUGAAGUGUGGACGCCAGUCUGCAUGGAGCCGACCUUGAAAUACCACCCUUUAAUGUUUGAUGUUCUAACGUUGGCCCGUAAUCCGGGUUGCGGACAGUGUCUGGUGGGUAGUUUGACUGGGGCGGUCUCCUCCUAAAGAGUAACGGAGGAGCACGAAGGUUGGCUAAUCCUGGUCGGACAUCAGGAGGUUAGUGCAAUGGCAUAAGCCAGCUUGACUGCGAGCGUGACGGCGCGAGCAGGUGCGAAAGCAGGUCAUAGUGAUCCGGUGGUUCUGAAUGGAAGGGCCAUCGCUCAACGGAUAAAAGGUACUCCGGGGAUAACAGGCUGAUACCGCCCAAGAGUUCAUAUCGACGGCGGUGUUUGGCACCUCGAUGUCGGCUCAUCACAUCCUGGGGCUGAAGUAGGUCCCAAGGGUAUGGCUGUUCGCCAUUUAAAGUGGUACGCGAGCUGGGUUUAGAACGUCGUGAGACAGUUCGGUCCCUAUCUGCCGUGGGCGCUGGAGAACUGAGGGGGGCUGCUCCUAGUACGAGAGGACCGGAGUGGACGCAUCACUGGUGUUCGGGUUGUCAUGCCAAUGGCACUGCCCGGUAGCUAAAUGCGGAAGAGAUAAGUGCUGAAAGCAUCUAAGCACGAAACUUGCCCCGAGAUGAGUUCUCCCUGACUCCUUGAGAGUCCUGAAGGAACGUUGAAGACGACGACGUUGAUAGGCCGGGUGUGUAAGCGCAGCGAUGCGUUGAGCUAACCGGUACUAAUGAACCGUGAGGCUUAACCUU